rnacentral:rRNA from 1 species
CCCGGGCCUUGUACACACCGCCCGUCACGUCACGAAAGUCGGUAACACCCGAAGCCCAUGGCCCAACUCUUCGGAGAGGGAGUGGUCGAAGGUGGGACUGGCGAUUGGGACG